rnacentral:rRNA from 1 species
CGAAGAACCUUACCAGGUCUUGACAUCCCGAUGCUAUUUCUAGAGAUAGAAAGUUACUUCGGUACAUCGGUGACAGGUGGUGCAUGGUUGUCGUCAGCUCGUGUCGUGAGAUGUUGGUUAAGUCCCGCAACGAGCGCAACCCCUAUUGUUAGUUGCCAUCAUUCAGUUGGGCACUCUAGCGAGACUGCCGGUAAUAAACCGGAGGAAGGUGGGGAUGACGUCAAAUCAUCAUGCCCCUUAUGACCUGGGCUACACACGUGCUACAAUGGGCGGUACAAAGGGUCGCGAACCCGCGAGGGGGAGCCAAUCCCAAAAAAGCCGCUCUCAGUUCGGAUUGCAGGCUGCAACUCGCCUGCAUGAAGCCGGAAUCGCUAGUAAUCGCGGAUCAGCAUGCCGCGGUCGAAUACGUCCCCGGGCCUU